UAGGGAAUCUUCGGCAAUGGGGGGAACCCUGACCGAGCAACGCCGCGUGAGUGAAGAAGGUUUUCGGAUCGUAAAGCUCUGUUGUUAAGGAAGAACGAGUGUGAGAAUGGAAAGUUCAUGCUGUGACGGUACUUAACCAGAAAGGGACGGCUAACUACGUGCCAGCAGCCGCGGUAAUACGUAGGUCCCGAGCGUUGUCCGGAUUUAUUGGGCGUAAAGCGAGCGCAGGCGGUUAGAUAAGUCUGAAGUUAAAGGCAGUGGCUCAACCAUUGUAGGCUUUGGAAACUGUUUAACUUGAGUGCAGAAGGGGAGAGUGGAAUUCCAUGUGUAGCGGUGAAAUGCGUAGAUAUAUGGAGGAACACCGGUGGCGAAGGCGACUCUCUGGUCUGUAACUGACGCUGAGGCUCGAAAGCGUGGGUAGCAAACAGG
rnacentral:rRNA from 1 species